CACGCCGUAAACGAUGGGUACUAGGUGUAGGAGGUAUCGACCCCUUCUGUGCCGUCGUUAACACAAUAAGUACCCCGCCUGGGGAGUACGGUCGCAAGACUAAAACUCAAAGGAAUUGACGGGGGCCCGCACAAGCAGCGGAGCAUGUGGUUUAAUUCGACGCUACGCGAAGAACCUUACCAGGACUUGACAUGGAAUUUAAAACUCUAGAGAUAGAGCCAUAACAAGUUCACACAGGUGG
rnacentral:rRNA from 1 species